rnacentral:rRNA from 1 species
UACGUAGGGGGCAAGCGUUGUCCGGAUUUAUUGGGCGUAAAGAGCGUGUAGGCGGCCAGACAGGUCCGUUGUGAAAACUCGAGGCUCAACCUCGAGAUGUCGAUGGAAACCGUCUGGCUAGAGUCCGGAAGAGGAGUGUGGAAUUCCUGGUGUAGCGGUGAAAUGCGUAGAUAUCGGAAAGAACAUCAGUGGUGAAGGCGGCUUCCUGGACUCAUACUGACGCUGAGGCACGAAAGCAUGGGGAGCAAACAGG